GACUACAGGGGUAUCUAAUCCCUUUCGCUCCCCUAGCUUUCGUCCCUCAGUGUCAGUACAGGCCCAGUAGAGCGCCUUCGCCACUGGUGUUCUUCCUAAUAUCUACGCAUUUCACCGCUACACUAGGAAUUCCCUCUACCCCUACCGUACUCUAGCCUAACAGUUUCAACUGCUUGUCCGGGGUUAAGCCCCGACCUUUAACAGCUGACUUGUUCGGCCACCUGCGGACCCUUUACGCCCAAUAAUUCCGGAUAACGCUUGCAUCCUCCGUAUUACCGCGGCUGCUGGCACGGAGUUAGCCGAUGCUUAUUCAAUAGGUACCGUCAGAGCUUCUUCCCUAUUAAAAGCGGUUUACAGUCCACAAACCGUCCUCCCGCACGCGGCGUUGCUCCGUCAGGGUUGCCCCCAUUGCGGAAAAUUCCCCACUGCUGCCUCCCGUAGGAGUCUGGGCCGUGUCUCAGUCCCAGUGUGGCUGAUCAUCCUCUCAGACCAGCUACUGAUCGUCGCCUUGGUAAGCUCUUACCCCACCAACUAGCUAAUCAGACGCGAGUUCAUCCUUAGACCAUUAAUGUUUUACCUCUCGGCUCAUCCGGUAUUAGCAUCAGUUUCCCGAUGUUGUCCCCGUCCUAAGGGCAGAUCCUCACGCGUUACUCACCCGUCCG
rnacentral:rRNA from 1 species